GCCGGGCUUGGAGGUGGAUGCCUGUAAUCCCAGCUACUUGGGAGGCUGAGGCAGGAGAAUCACUUGAACCCAGGAGGCAGAGGUUGCAGUGAGCUGAGAUCACGCUGCUACACUGCAGCCUGGGUGACAGAGUGAGACUCUGCCUCAG
ensembl:misc_RNA Metazoa_SRP Metazoan signal recognition particle RNA